GGGGACGAACAGACGGAAACGACUGCUAAUACCGAAUACGCUUGGGAGACCGCAUGAUNUUCCAAGGAAAGGGUGGCCUCUACUUGUAAGCUAUCGCCUGAAGAGGGGUUUGCGUCUGAUUAGGCAGUUGGUGAGGUAACGGCCCACCAAACCUACGAUCAGUAGCCGGUCUGAGAGGAUGAACGGCCACACUGGAACUGAGACACGGUCCAGACUCCUACGGGAGGCAGCAGUGGGGAAUCUUCCGCAAUGGGCGAAAGCCUGACGGAGCAACGCCGCGUGAGUGAUGACGGCCUUCGGGUUGUAAAGCUCUGUGAUCGGGGACGAACGGUCCGUAAGCCAAUACCUUAUGGAAGUGACGGUACCCGAAUAGCAAGCCACGGCUAACUACGUG
rnacentral:rRNA from 1 species